rnacentral:rRNA from 1 species
AGUGAACGCUGGCGGUAGGCCUAACACAUGCAAGUCGAACGGCAGCACAGUAAGAGCUUGCUCUUACGGGUGGCGAGUGGCGGACGGGUGAGGAAUACAUCGGACUCUACUUUUUCGUGGGGGAUAACGUAGGGAAACUUACGCUAAUACCGCAUACGACCUACGGGUGAAAGCAGGGGAUCUUCGGACCUUGCGCGAUUGAAUGAGCCGAUGUCGGAUUAGCUAGUUUGCGGGGUAAAGGACCACCAAGGCAACGAUCCGUAGCUGGUCUGAGAGGAUGGUCAGCCACACUGGAACGGAGACACGGUACAGACUCCUAAGGGAGGCAGCAGUGGGGAAUAUUGGACAAUGGGCGCAAGCCUGAUCCAGACAUACCGCGUGGGUGAAGAAGGCCUUCGGGUUGUAAAGCCCUUUUGUUGGGAAAGAAAAGCAGCAGGUUAAUACCCCGCUGUUCUGACGGUACCCAAAGAAUAAGCACCGGCUAACUUCGUG